rfam:Ciona savignyi cont_65653, whole genome shotgun sequence.
AACUUUGUGCAGUGGCAGAAACAUAGCCGAUGAGUUUCAUCCGAGGCGGGUUUUUUACUAGUUGAAAUAUAUAUCGGCUAUCAAAGAAUAAUCGAGCCUAAAAAUGCCGAAAAUUUGGAAAAACGGCCGUCGU